CGUGUAGGCGGCCCGGUAAGUCCGCUGUGAAAACCCGGGGCUCAACCCCGGGCGUGCAGUGGAAACUGCCGGGCUAGAGGGCGGCAGAGGCGAGUGGAAUUCCCGGUGUAGCGGUGAAAUGCGCAGAUAUCGGGAGGAACACCAGUAGCGAAGGCGGCUCGCUGGGCCGUUCCUGACGCUGAGACGCGAAAGCUAGGGGAGCGAACA
rnacentral:rRNA from 1 species